UGAAAAUUCAGUUACCACCUCCGUCACAAAAUGUUUGUUUGGUCCGCAAAAUGAAGACUUAAAAAUAAUACAUUUUUUGAAGAAAAAAUUCAAACUUUUUACAUAAGUUGAAAGAACUCUUGAAUAUCUAGUAAAUUGUUGAAUAUUUUUUUGAAAGAUUGUACUAUUUUAAGUUCUCAUUUUGUGGACCGGACUAAUAUUUUGGUAAGGAGGGAGUAUAAUUUAAAAUUGCUGCAGAUCAUUUCCAAUCCAUAGUACAAGUAUCCAUUUGUUUUUUGUGUUUGUUUUUUACAUCUAUGUUCCACUGUCAUGCAUAUGCUCUGCAGCUCAAUACCAUGAUCAAUAUAUGUGUCUGUGAACGAUCUUUGUUUACGGAUCUUUGUCUGAUGGAAAGAUCGAAUUCUAUUGUAUUGGUCAUGUUUGUCUAUGGUCAUCAAGAAUGUUUGAAAUGCUGGAUGCGAAAUUUGUGCCUGGAAGUAAGCUUGAUUAAGCCAAGUUCUUUAACAUGUUGCCAUCGGAAAACUAACUCAAGGGUCAACUCUUGAAUGCACAAAUUUAGAGUUCUUUGCAGUGAGGUUUCCUUAUGGAUAACCUUGAGAAUGUGCAUCAUUUGCUGGUUGCUUUUGAUUCAGGCUACUUGUUUCAUUUUUCUGCUUUGAUAUGCUUCAUGGCGAACUACCACUACCUAUUAAUCUUGAUUUGGGUGUACUUUAGGUUUACACCAUCCUCAAUUAUUGUCCAAUUGGCAAAAUUUGUGAGAAAAGGAAAGAGGCUAAGAGGGAAAUGAAAACAAACUGAAGUGUUAAGUUUGGAUAAAAUAAAAUAGAAACUAAAAACGAAAUGGAUAAUGGCAGCUUUCCAUCUUGUCUGGAUAAUUCAUGAGGAAAAGAAGAGCAAGACGUGUUAUUCUCUCCCUUGCUUGGAAAAGAUAACAAUAAAUGACAAGAUGGUAGAUAGUUUUAUUUUGUGCUAAAUAGGGAAACGAAUAUGGUUUGUUCACAUUUCUCUCCUCGAAAGCUAUCUAAACAGGUGAUUAUGCAUGAGAGAGUCCAUUCCGUUUCCUUUCCUAUAAAGUUACUCCAUCUUUACUUUUUUUCUACUCUCAGCACCACCACUGCAGUGCUUUUGUUUCUCUUUCAUUGCACCCCUAAUUGAAGGCAUCAGUCUUCUUAACUCGAUGACCGAGUCAUGUUGACAAUCACCUACUAACUGAUGGGGGUGAACACUUUGUUGAUCCAUAAAUUGGCUUCUCGUUUCCCUAGUUUCGCUUUCUUAUGUUUCUAGUAACACUUUCUCUUGUGAAGCUUUAAAUAUCUUGAACCUUGAGAGCAGUUUUUAUAUUUUAGUUUGGAAGGGGCAGAGUCUGCAUGUUGCUCUACAAAUCUGGGACAGGAUUUCGCCAUUUGAAAUUGGGUUCACUUGCUUGUACAGAAUGUAUAUGUUGCAUCAAAGAGUCAAAAACUAACUUUUUCUCGAAAAGGACCAUGCAUUACUGCUGGUUUAAAAAGGAAGGUUUUGUUUCUUUAUUUACAGUAUGUAAUGAUUCUGUUGAAGUGUUCAGUACCCAUGGCUUUUGGUGGGACUGAGCAGCCAGCAGCUAGUUGGUUUCCAUUGGGAGCCUCACUCCAGAUGUGAAUAAGAACCUUAGUGCCGCAAUUUCAGCGAUACUUGCGACCAAGUUGUAUGUUCCCAAGUCACGAUUCUUUCUGAGAUUCUAUGACACCAUGGCAAGCUAUAUCACGGCUUUUAACUAUCCCUGAGAAACUGUUUACUGCAACACACUCAUGUGUUUCUUGUUGCGUUCUUCCUGCUUGUUUAGGCCCAUCAAAGUCAACAAUAUGCACAGUGUCUACAUGCUUUACAAUAGUCCUAGAUAAUGUAAAUAAGCCCUUAUUGUUCAGAACAAUAGAUAGUGCUUUUGUUGGUAUCUCUACUUCUUAAGAUUUCAGCAUCUAUGGUUUUCUUUUGCCCUUAGAAAGAACUUAUGUUAUGCCCUCUCUAUUAGACUCUAGAGAAUUUUACGAGACAGGUUUCUAGACACUCGUGCAUGAAACACAGACUGUGCCAUAAAGAAUGACAUGGAAAGAUUAACCCUUUCAAGUGUCCUGAGGGAGAAACAGAGAAGUAAAGUCCCUGGUAUCAUAUCUUGAUUUCCAUUUUCUCGAUAUACCUUCAGCAAGUGGAAUUAAGGUUGAGAUAUUGUGAGUGCCUGAAACGCAUUAUCAGUGGAACUUGCUAAAUACAUGAUCAAAAGUAGCACAUUGUCAUCAUUGCCAAGUUCAGAUUAGAAGUUUCUUUUAUGGUAAUACAAUCCCAGUGUAAUAUGGUGCCUUUAAGUUUGAAACAAGAGCAUAAGUCAUAAUGAAGGUCAACUCCUAGCUAUUUUCCCAAGAACUUUCUACUCUGUCGAAAUUCUGUAUUAAUGUGGACUUUUUAGUGAACUUUCUCCUUGGUAAUGUGACCAGAAAAUAUUUGCGGGCAUUUCCACUUCAGAUUUGGGUCAUGGUAGUUGCAUGAUGUCCAUCAGUAUGAAAUUUUGGGGACAUCAGCUUCCACUUGUUUCAUUACGUGUGUCCAGUGUGGGUGUAGGUCUAAGCGUCAGUCCACGGAUUUAUCUCAUUUAUAUCUCAAGGACAAGGAAACACGCCAAAAUAUUCGGAUUCUAUUUGUAUAUUUCUUUUAUUUAAUUGGUGUAAUGGUGUUUAGAAGUUACCUUAGGGCAUUUCAUUAAUUUUAUAGGAGUCCUAUGCCUAGUUCAUGGUGAAAUCCAAUUACAAAAUAUGUUUGCUUGGUUAAUGUCCAACUAAACAUGCCAGACACAUAUCUCAUACUCUUGUUGGAUUGCCGAGUGUCCAACACGGUAUUCAGUACAUUUAGAAGGAUCCACGUAACAAAGGGCCUCCCAGUUAUCUGAAGUGCUUAAAAGUUUGUGGUACACUUCUAAGAUACAAAAGAGGAAAGACUUUCACAGUCUUUGUCAGUAGUAGAUAUUUUGUGUUCAAUAUGAGCUUGAUGUAUUUCAUCGUUACAAGUUGAACUGUCAAAAAGCUGCAAUGUGUAGCUUGCGCCUUGCUUGAAAUCAUUCUACCUCUGAGCAAGAAAGGCUUGUCUAUGAAGGAUGGUUGUUAUAUGACACAGGCCAUCACGAAGAAGCAUUAGCAAAAGCUGAAGAGUCCAUUUCUAUCCAGAGAUCCUUUGAAGCUUUUUUCCUAAAGGCAUAUGCUUUAGCUGAUUCAAAUCUUCUUAUUGACCUGAAGGAGGUGUUAUCUCCGGCUGAUAUUGGCUGUGUCUCAUGGAAAGGGAUAGGCAAGCCACUUCCCGAAGAAAUUCUGCAAAAGACAUUUGACGCAUGUGACUGACUUCUUGCUUUACAUUCGGACUCCUCCGUAGGCAAUUCCAUAUCUGCCAAUUGUGUUGCCGGAGAAGCUACGCCCGGAAGUUCUUCGCCAAGGGGGGCCUCCGGCUUAGGGACGGGUUCAGGAGCCAUGGAAAAGUUCAUGCUUUUGUGGGCAGUAUAACAGAGUAUUUUGCGCCUAAUCUUUGUGCUGUUUUUGGAAGUGAAGUUGCUUUGAAGCUAAUUGUGGGGACUGCUGGUGGUCUCUCAGCAUUAGCUAAUAUGAUUUUAGCCUCUUGGGUGCUAAGAAAAUUAUGGAUUUGCAACGGUUUUUCUUGCUGAAAUGCCCCAAUUUUUUUAUCUUCUGCAAUAACACCUUUUAAGUGUCAUUCGUGGUCGUUUCAAGUUCCUUGCCUUCCGAUAUGUGAAUAGAAAUCCAACAGGUAAGACUGGGAGAUGUAUUCGAGAUGAGAUAAUUAGGGGGAGUGAACAGUGGCGAAAGAAGUCCUACUUGGCUGCAAAGCAGGGAUCUGAUUUGAUCCAUUUCCUAUUUUCAAGCCGAAAGGAAGGAAAGAUAGAUGAGAUUGCUGAGGCAAAGCUCUAUGGAGUGAAGGAUGCUGCUAGCUGUCGGAGGAGAUUGCUAUGGGGAAUUGGGGGAAAAUACAGGUGAAGAAGCCCGCGGACGAUGAAGGCACUGUGAUUAAUUUGGUGGACUGGGACGAGGGGCGGGGCGAGAGGAGGGCCAAGCUGGAGGCCAUUAAGAAACGGAGAGCCGUUUUUUAAGCGAACUAGUUUGGUUUGCUUGCUAUCAAGAAGUGAAAUUGGUCUGUGAUGGAGCCAUGUUGUGAUGGCAAGUUGGUCUUUGAUGCUGGGAGAGUAGCUGCACUACUCGUGCUGGGCAUCUCAGCUCCACUCCCGAAUGAAAAGCAUACCUUCAGUAUUCCCCCUAGAAUUUUUUAAUAUGCUGUCGAACUGCUAGCUAGGGAGGAUUUCUCAUGCUUUAAAUGAUGUCAUGGACCAGGAAACUCUGUUGGCUUAUUUGUAUCAUUGCAGUAGCUCCACAGUUAUUUGUUCUGGGGAGUUUGACUUCAAAAGGAAAGAGUCAUUCGUACCUGUUGAAGAUGGUUCGACUAAUAAUGCCAUCUAUUGGAAAUCUUGUUCUGCUGAA